UCAAAUUAUAACUGGAGUCCUUCAUUUUAAACAAAUUUUGGACAUGUUGAGGUAGAAGUUUGUUUUUUGCUUUAUACAUGGUUUGUAUUGUAAUAAAAUCAACUAAGUCCCUGAAUUUCAGAAUAUUCACACAAAUAAAUAGUGGUUUUGUUGGCUCACGGUAAGGUUUAAUACUGAUAAUUCUUAUGGCUUUCUUUUGCAAUAAAAAUAUUGAAUUAAUAUUAGUUUAAUAUGUGUC